rnacentral:rRNA from 1 species
UACGGGGGGGGCAAGCGCUGUUCGGAAUUACUGGGCGUAAAGGGCUCGUAGGUGGCCAACUAAGUCAGACGUGAAAUCCCUCGGCUUAACCGGGGAACUGCGUCUGAUACUGGAUGGCUUGAGAUUGGGAGAGGGAUGCGGAAUUCCAGGUGUAGCGGUGAAAUGCGUAGAUAUCUGGAGGAACACCGGUGGCGAAGGCAGCUCUCUGGGACGGUACUGACGCUGAGACGCGAAAGCCAGGGGAGCAAACGGG